rnacentral:rRNA from 1 species
GAUUCUGGCUCAGGAUGAACGCUAGCGACAGGCUUAACACAUGCAAGUCGAGGGGCAGCAUAAAAGUAGCAAUACUUGGUGGCGACCGGCGCACGGGUGAGUAACGCGUAUGCAACCUACCUAUCAGACGGGGAAUAACCCGGCGAAAGUCGGACUAAUACCGCAUAAAACAGGGGCACCGCAUGGUGAUAUUUGUUAAAGAAAUUCGCUGAUAGAUGGGCAUGCGUUCCAUUAGGUAGUUGGUGAGGUAACGGCUCACCAAGCCGACGAUGGAUAGGGGAACCUGAGAGGUUGGUCCCCCACACUGGUACUGAGACACGGACCAGACUCCUACGGGAGGCAGCAGUGAGGAAUAUUGGUCAAUGGGCGGGAGCCUGAACCAGCCAAGUCGCGUGAAAGGAAGAAGGAUCUAUGGUUCGUAAACUUCUUUUGCAGGGGAAUAAAGUGCAGGACGUGUCCUGUUUUGUAUGUACCCUGAGAAUAAGGAUCGGCUAACUCCGUGCCAGCCGCUGC